GUAGGAGAAAGCCACUCGGCUUGUGUUCAUCACAGCACUAGUGUGUGCUCAGUGGGCUGCAUCUGCAACAGAUCUCCCAUCAGUGAGGACACUGCAUCUGGUGAAGUGGGGUUGGCUCCUCUGCUAGCAGUGCUGGAGCAGUGAUUGCUGGUGUCAGUGGGGCUGGCUCUGUGGCCUUCCCAGGUUUGACUGGCAUGUUUUAAAAGCUGGUGUUGGUGUUUUGCUGGGAGACCCCUGUUAUUACUGUGGUGCUGGCAGGCGUCAGCUACUGAAACUGUUGGGUGAGGAGCAGCAGGCUGUGUGCCUGGGCAGUUGACACAGAUACCCACGCUUGUGCUGCUCACCUGCAGUGAGGCACUUUCUCCUCCUUCUUCAUCUACUUGCCCAACACAGCAACCAGGUCUCGGAUGAGCUGGAAGUUUGUCUCACAUUUCCCUGGGGAACAGGAAUGGACAGGAAUAAGGUUCCUGUGCUGUGAAAGUGCACAGGGAGGUGCUGUCAGAAAAGCCAAAAUGAAUGUACGUCUCAUUGAGCUGGUUCCAGUGGAGCUCUGAGGGAGGGUUAGUGCUCAUACACCAGAUAUUAAAUUACAUCUAGUGAGAAGGAGCAGAUGUUGAUGUGCCAGGCCUGUCUGCCACCACGUCUAAUGCAUAAGGAUGGCUGAAAAAUCUCCCAUCAAAAUAUUUUGAUUUUUCUUGAGGAAAAAAUAAACUUCUACUAGAAAAAAAUAAAAAAUGAACCCCCGAGGCAGAAAACUUAUGGCUCAGAAAACUUUGUUUUCAGACUGUUGAUAAAGGGCUGCUGCUGUCAGAGAGGAUAAAGAGGAGGAUUUUUUCAUCAGCCGUGUUAAUCUGAUC